UUAUCUCCUACCUUGAUUUCAUUUCCAAGA
rnacentral:piRNA from 1 species